AUUGAACGCUGGCGGCAUGCCUUACACAUGCAAGUCGAACGGCAGCACGGGUGCUUGCACCUGGUGGCGAGUGGCGAACGGGUGAGUAAUACAUCGGAACAUGUCCUGUAGUGGGGGAUAGCCCGGCGAAAGCCGGAUUAAUACCGCAUACGAUCUACGGAUGAAAGCGGGGGACCUUCGGGCCUCGCGCUAUAGGGUUGGCCGAUGGCUGAUUAGCUAGUUGGUGGGGUAAAGGCCUACCAAGGCGAUGAUCAGUAGCUGGUCUGAGAGGACGACCAGCCACACUGGGACUGAGACACGGCCCAGACUCCUACGGGAGGCAGCAGUGGGGAAUUUUGGACAAUGGGCGAAAGCCUGAUCCAGCAAUGCCGCGUGUGUGAAGAAGGCCUUCGGGUUGUAAAGCACUUUUGUCCGGAAAGAAAGCCUUGGCCCUAAUACGGUCGGGGGGAUGACGGUACCGGAAGAAUAAGCACCGGCUAACUACGUG
rnacentral:rRNA from 1 species